GACGAACGCUGGCGGCGUGCCUAAUACAUGCAAGUUGAGCGAUGAAGAUUGGUGCUUGCCCCAAUUUGAAGAGCAGCGAACGGGUGAGUAACGCGUGGGGAAUCUGCCUUUGAGCGGGGGACAACAUUUGGAAACGAAUGCUAAUACCGCAUAAUAACUUUAAACAUAAGUUUUAAGUUUGAAAGAUGCAAUUGCAUCACUCAAAGAUGAUCCCGCGUUGUAUUAGCUAGUUGGUGAGGUAAAGGCUCACCAAGGCGAUGAUACAUAGCCGACCUGAGAGGGUGGUCGGCCACAGUGGGACUGAGACACGGCCCAAACUCCUACGGGAGGCAGCAGGAGGGAAUCUUCGGCAAUGGACGAAAGGCUGACCGAGCAACGCCGCGUGAGUGAAGAAGGGUGUCGGAUCGUAAAACUCUGUUGGUAGAGAAGAACGUUGGUGAGAGUGGAAAGCUCAUCAAGUGACGGUAACUACCCAGAAAGGGACGGCUAACUACGUG
rnacentral:rRNA from 1 species